AAGAGCAUAGUUUAAUAGGUAAAACUGUAAGCUUCAACCUUAUAUUUCUUAGUUCAAAUCUAAGUGCUCUUG
rfam:Penicillium polonicum strain IBT 4502 PENPOL_contig045 mitochondrial, whole genome shotgun sequence.